rnacentral:rRNA from 1 species
GACGAACGCUGGCGGCGUGCCUAAUACAUGCAAGUUGAGCGCUGAAGGUUGGUACUUGUACCAACUGGAUGAGCAGCGAACGGGUGAGUAACGCGUGGGGAAUCUGCCUUUGAGCGGGGGACAACAUUUGGAAACGAAUGCUAAUACCGCAUAAAAACUUUAAACACAAGUUUUAAGUUUGAAAGAUGCAAUUGCAUCACUCAAAGAUGAUCCCGCGUUGUAUUAGCUAGUUGGUGAGGUAAAGGCUCACCAAGGCGAUGAUACAUAGCCGACCUGAGAGGGUGAUCGGCCACAUUGGGACUGAGACACGGCCCAAACUCCUACGGGAGGCAGCAGUAGGGAGUCUUCGGCAAUGGACGAAAGUCUGACCGAGCAACGCCGCGUGAGUGAAGAAGGUUUUCGGAUCGUAACACUCUGUUGGUAGAGAAGAACGUUGGUGAGAGUGGAAAGCUCAUCAAGUGACGGUAACUACCCAGAAAGGGACGGCUCACUACGUG